GGAGAGGUGUCUGAGUGGUUUAAAGUACUGGUCUUGAAAACCAGCGUGAUGUUAUUGUCACCGAGGGUUCAAAUCCCUCCUUCUCCG
rnacentral:tRNA from 1 species